rnacentral:lncRNA from 1 species
UCCGGAGCUCAUCGUUCAAGGAGGAGCGACCUACCUUGAACCAAACGAAUGUGAGUAUGAUCUGAUCCUCCUUUAGAGGAUUCAACAAUAGACGAUGUCACACUUAACUCUAACUAGCUCUUUAUGCUAGUUUCACAAUUCUUUUUCUCGAUGCUAACCAAAUCUCUAAUUAGAAUGUCACCAAGUUUACUAUUAUUAUAGUCCAUGCAUUCAUAGGGUUCUAUGUUCACAUUCUAUUGUUCAUAUAUUCUCAUGGUUGAUAAGUAAUUGCAUAAUUAAAUAUCAUUUACAUAAUAUCAAUACCCUAUAAUACAUGAUUACAAUGUAAAUAUGCUCAAUGAAUU